UUCUUCGGGGCAGGGUGCAAUUCCCUACCGGCGGUAUAGUCCGCGACCCGGUGCCGGUUAUCCGGUAUUGGCUGAUUUGGUGUGAUUCCAAAACCGACAGUAUAGUCUGGAUGAGAGAAGAA
rnacentral:ncRNA from 1 species